AAAGAAGAUUACAUCGGAUAGAUCUCCAUGAAGAUCAUGGAGAACUUUGUAUUAAAGAUCCAAGAGAGAGAAGAAGCCAUCUAGCUACUAACUACGGACCCGUAGGUCUGAAGUGAACUACUCAUGAGUCAUUGGAGGGGCGAUGAUGAUGAUGAAGAAGCCCUCCAACUGUUGGGUAACGUAGCAUAAAUUCAAAAUUUUCCUACGCAUAUUCAGAUCUUCCUAUGGAGAGACCAUCAACGAGAGAGGGGUAAGAGCAUCUUCAUACCUUUGAAGAUCGCUAAGCGGAAGCGUUGCUAGAACGCGGUUGAUGGAGUCGUACUCGCAGCGAUUCCGAUCUAGUGCCGAACUACGUCACCUCCGCGUUCAACACACGUGCAGCCCGGUGACGUAUCCCACACCUUGAUCCAGGAAGGAGGAGGGAGAGGUUGGGGAAGAACUCCAGCAGCACGACGGCGUGGUGUCGAUGGAGAGACGAGGUCUCCUGGCAGGGCUUCGCCAAGCACCGGCAGAGAGGAGGAGGAAGAAGGGCAGGGCUGCGCCGAGGGAGAGGCAAAAGUCCGAUCUCCAAUGGCCAAAAGUGCCCACUAUAUAUAGGGGGAGGGAGGGCCUGAGCCCCCUUGAGGGUUUCCCUCUCCUGGGGGGGGGGGCAGCCCUAGAUGGGGGCUGGUGCGGCGGCCAAGGGGGGAAGGAGGGGUGUGGCGCACCCCUGGUGGGCCUUAGGCCCAUCUGGCUUAGGGUUUGCCCCCCUUCCCUCUCCCCUGCGCAUUGGGCUGAGUGGGGAGGCGCACCAGCCCACCUAGGGGCUGGUUCCCUCCCCCACUUGGCCCACCUUACCUCCCGGGGUCGUUGCCCUCCUUCGGUGGACCCCCGGGGCCACCUCCAGUGGUCCCGGUGGUCCCGGUACAUUACCGGUGAUGCCCGAAACACUUCCGGUGUCCGAAACCAUCAGUCCUAUAUAUCAAUCUUUACCUCCGGACCAUUCCGGAGCUCCUCGUGACGUCCGGGAUCUCAUCCGGGACUCCGAACAACUUUCGGUAACCUCGUAUAACAAUUCCCUAUAACCCUAGCGUUACCGAACCUUAAGUGUGUUGAGCCUACGGGUUCGGGAGACAGGAAGACAUGACCGAGACACCUCUCUGGCCAAUAACCAUCAGCGGGUCUGGAUACCCAUGGUGGCUCCCACUUGCUCCACGAUGAUCUCAUCGGAUGAACCACGAUGUCAAGGAUUCAAUCAAUCCCGUAUACGAUUCCCUUUGUCUGUCGGUAUAGAACUUGCCCGAGAUUCGAUCGUCGGUAUACCUAUACCUUGUUCAAUCUCGUUACCAGUAAGUCUCUUUACUCGUUCCGUAGCACGUCAUCGUGUGACUAAGUCCUUAGUCACAUUGAGCUCAGGAUGAUGUUCUACCGAGUGGACCCAGAGAUACCUCUCCGUCACACGGAGUGACAAAUCCCGAUCUCGAUUCGUACCAACCCAACAGACACUUUCGGAGGUACCCGUAGUGCACCUUUAUAGUCACCCAGUUACGUCGUGACGUUUGAUACACCCAAAGCACUCCUACGGUAUCCGGGAGUUGCACAAUCUCACGGUCGAAGGAAAAGAUACUUGACAUUAGAAAAGCUUUAGCAUACGAACAAUACGAUCUAGUGCUAUGCUUAGGAUUGGGUCUUGUCCAUCACAUCAUUCUCCCAAUGAUGUGAUCCCGUUAUCAGUGACACCUAAUGCCCAUGAUCAGGAAACCAUGAUCAUCUAUUGACUAACGAGCUAGCCAACUAGAGGCUUGCUAGGGACACAUUGUGAUCUAUUUAUUCACACAUGUAUUACUGUUUCCUGUUAAUACAAUUAUAGCAUGAAAAAUAGAUGAUUAUCAUGAACAAGGAAAUAUGAUAAUAACCAUUUUAUUAUUGCCUCUAGGGCAUAUUUCCAACACCAACUCCAAAGUCCCCUCCGGCAGGGCACCGGGAAGGGUCUCCGGAUGAGAUCUCGCGGAAACGGAAGCUUGCGGCGGCGGAAAAGUAUUUUCGAGGCUCCCCUGAUUUUUUGCUGAAUAUUUGGGAAUAUAUAGGCCAAGGAUCUAGGUCAGGGGGCGGCGAGGGAGUCCACAAGCCCUGACCCCGCUGCCUCCCCCAGGUGGCGGAGUGGGAGCUUGUGGGCUCCCUGGAGCCCACCUGGCUUGGACCAGAGGCCCCCUGAUCUUCUUCCAUUCGGGAAAAAAUCAUUUUGGGGUUUUUAUUCCGUUUGGACUCCGUUCGAAAAUCAGAUCUGAAAAGAGUAAAAAACACAGAAAAGACAGGAACUGGCACUUGGCACUGAACUAAUAAGUUAGUCCCAAAAAGAUAUAAAAAGGUACAUAAAACAUCCAAAGAAGACAAGAUAACAGCGUGAAACCAUAAAAAAUUAUAGAUACAUUUGAGAUGUAUCAAGCAUCCCCAAGCUUAACUCCUGCUCGUCCUCGAGUAGGGAAGUGAUAAAGAAUGAAUUUUUGAUGCUUUCAAGCUACCUAGCAUAGGUGUCCUUUGUAAUUCCUCUUAUGUGACGUGAAUGUUCAGAUCCAUUAGAUUCAAAAAAAUAGUUUGCUAUUGACGUGGAAACAAUAAUAAUUCAAGCAAACUUGCAAGGUAAUCAUGAACUUUCAAAAUAACAAGGCCAAAAGAAAGUUAUCCCUACAAAAUCAUAUAGUCUGGCUAUGCUCUAUCAUCAGUGCACAACGAAUUUAAAUCAUGCACAUCCCCGGUAUUGGCCAAUUAAUUGUUUCACACCUUUACUUUCUCAAACAUUUUCAACUCUCACGCAAUACAUGAGCGUGAGCCUUGGUUAUAGCACUAUAGAUGGUGUGGAAUGUGGAGGAGGUUGCAAGACAAAAAAAGGGAGAAGAUAGUCACAUUAACUAGGCAUAUCAAUGAGCUGUGGAGAUGAUCAUCAAUAGAUAUCAAUGUGAAUUAGUAGAGAUUGCCAUACAAAUGAUGCACUAGAGCUACGAGUAUGUGAAAGCUCUUAAAGAAAACUAGUGGGUGUGCAUCCAACUUGCUUGCUCACGAAGACCUAAGGCAAUUUUGAGGAAGCCUAUCAUUGUAAUAUACAAGCCAAGUUAUAUAAUGAAAAUUUCCCACUAGCUAUAUGGUGGUGACAAAACGAGAGACUCUCAAUCAUGAAGAUCGUGGUGCUUAAUAUGCACAAGUGUGGAAAAAGUGGUAGCAUUGUCCCUUCUCUCUUUUUCUCUCAUUUUUUGGUGGGCUCUUUGGCCUCUUUUUUUUUGGUGGGCUUCUUUGGCCUCUUUUAUUUCCUCACAUGGGACAAUGCUCCAUUAAUGAUGAUCAUCACACUUUCAACUCAAAACUUAGAGCAACUAUGACUCUAUAUGGAAUGCCUUCGGUAGUGUACAGUGGCAAUGAUCUAGCAUGGCAUAGACAUCAAUGGAAACAUCAUGCUAGCUAUCUUAUGAUCAUGCAAUGGCAAUGUAGACGUGGUGUCACAUGUCAUGGUCGUAGUUGCAUGGCAAUAUAUCUCGGAAUGACUUUGAAAAAGCCAUAGUAGGUAGGUAUGGUGGCUAUUUUGAGGGAGGCUAAUGGUGGCUUUUGUGCACCGGCGAAAGUUGCACGACACUAAGAAGAUAGUGAUAGUGGAAGGUGAAAGUGCAUCUAAACCAUGGACUCAACAUUAGUCAUGAAGAACUCAUAUACUUGUUGCAAAAGUUUUAUUAGUAAUCGAAGCAAAGUAUUCAACGCAUACUCCUAGGGGAAGGGUUGGUAGGUAUAAACCAUCGCGCGAUCCCGACCGCCACGCAAAGAAUGACAAUCAAAAGACUAAUCAUGCUCAGACUUCAUCACAUAGCGGUUCACCAUACGUGCAUGCUACGGUAAUCACUAACUUCAACACAAGUAUUUCUAGAUCCACAACACCUUACUAGCAUGACUUCAAUAUUACCAUAACCACAACUCAAAACUAAUUGAGAUGAAUCAAACUUCUCUAACUAUUCAAUGGACAUGAAGGUGGAAGUUUUCGUAUCCCUUUGGAUAACUACCCCUUUUGAGACUACUUUCAAAGCAUAGAUCAACUACCAAGCCACGCACCACUGAUCUCUAAAAGAUAUAAGUGAAGUGCAUAGAGCAAAAGUAUCUAGCUCAAAAGAUAUAAGUGAAGCACAUGUGAGCUGAAUUGUCUACCGAAAGAUAUAAGUGAAGCUCGACAAAAUCACGUUGUGUGCAUGUCUCUCUCUCUAGGUGUGCAGCAAGGAUGAUUGUGACGCAACAAAAAUAAAAGACUCCUAUGAUACAAGACGCUUCAAGCAAAAACACAUAACAUGUGGUGAAUAAAAACAUAGCCCCAAGUAAUGUUACUGAUGGAUUGAAGACGAGAGAGGGGAUGCCUUCCCCGGGCAUCCCCAAGCUUAGGAUUUUACGGCAUCCUUGAAUCUCUUGGGGUGCCUUGGGCAUCCUCAAGCUUGAGCUCUUGCCACUCUUUAUCUUUUUGUCCAUAAGAACUUCACCCAAAACUUGAAAACUUCACAACACGAAACUUAAACAGAAACUCGUGAUAACAUUAGUACAAGAAAGCAAACCACCACUUCCUUAGGUACUGUAGCAAACUUAAAUUCUACUUGUGCUGAUGUUGGGUUACUGUAUUUUCAAUCUUCCAUGGCUAAUACCCCCCGAUACUAUCCAUAGUUUCAUCAAAAUAAGCAACAAACACAACAAAAACAGAAUCUGUUAACAACAGACUAGUCUGUAGCAAUCUGUAUAUUUCGUAUACCUAUUUUACUUCAAAAAUUCUGACAAAUUAUGACAGUAUGAAGAAUUUGCGUAGCAAUCAACAGCAAAAAGAAUCAACUCAAAAGCUCUUACAUAAAAAAAAUGAAAAUUCUUUUCAUGAGCAAAAAGUUUCUGUCUUUUCCAGCAUGACCAAACGAUCACCCCCAAGACUAAUCAUAACGGUUUUGCUUGGCACAAACGCAAAAGGAAACACAAUCAUAACAGAAUUAUGAAAAUGUGGAAAACACAAAACAGAAAGAAAAAGGAUAAAUUCGUUGGGUUGCCUCCCAACAAGCGCUUUUGUUUAACGCCCUUAGCUAGGCAAAAAGUGAUGGAAUCACGUAUAGUCAUCUUUGGUGCUCAAACCAUAAGUAGCGUGAUCAUUUAUCAUCUUAAGAUUUUCAUCUUUAUUAGAUGACUCACCACUAGCUUUAGGAACAAAAAUAGGCUUGCCGGUCUUUUUGAGAGUAAGAUUUGGAGUAUUUUGCACAGCGGCAAAAGCGGAACCCAAGUUGGUUAUGACAUCUUCUAAUUUGCCAAUUCUAGAAGAAUCAUUAACUAUAAGUUCCUUCUCCUUUAAAUUUUUCAAAAAGUUUCCCACUUUGGAUCCGUACUAAGUAAUUUGAUUGUGGAUCUUUCUAUCCAAACCCUCAAUAAGUUCAACUGUGGCAAUUUUGUUUUCAAUAGCGUCAAGCCUUUGCAUCAUGUGUUCCAAGGUCAAGAUAGUUCCAUUAACCAUGAGCGGGGAUGAGCCUACCAAAUUAAUGAUAGCUCUAUAGGAGUCAACAGUAUGGCUCCCCAAAAAGUUCCCGCCUACAAUGGUAUCAAGGAUAUACCUAUUCCAAGGAGAAAUUCCAACAUAGAAACUGCGAAGGAGGACGGUAGUGGAUUGCUUACGAGUAGAUCUACUUUGAGCAUUGCAAAUCCUGUACCAAGCGUCCUUCAAAUUUUCUUCCUCAAUCUGCCUGAAAUUGAGAACUUCAUUUUCAGGGGUGUUGUUUGGAGUGGUGGGUCUAGCCAUUGAUGGACUAUCUCACACACAAACGAGCGGGAAGAGAGAGUGAAACGGGCAAAAGAAAACAACAAAAAGGCAAAAGAAAACGGCGAAGGAGAAAGGCAAAUGAAAACGGCAAAUGUGAAGUGGGGGAGAGGAAAACGAGAGGCAAUUGGCAACAAAAGUAAAUGCAGGAGAAGAGUUUGUGAGACCUACUUGGAUAGAUCUUGAUUUCUCCUCCCCGGCAACGGCGCCAGAAAUGUUUCUGAUGUCCGUUAUGCUACUGCACAAAAGACCUUCCAAUGGCGCCAGAAAUUGGUGUGUCGACGGCACCAGGAAACCUUCUACGUUGGUGUUCCCUCGAAGUGGAAAGGAUGAUGUAGCACAACGGAGGUAAGUAUUUCCCUCAGUUUGAGAACCAAGGUAUCAAUCCGGUGGAGGAGUAUCUCAAGAUCCUGCACAAACACAAAAACUUGCUCCCAACGCUAUGAAGGGGUUGUCAAUCCCUUAUAGAUUGUUUCCAAGUGAGAACUGAAAGCAACAAAGUAACAAAGCAAAGUAAAAGCAGAGGUGUAAACGAUGGAUGUGAAUAGACCCGGGGGGCGUAGUGUUUACUAGUGGCUUCUCUCAUGAAAGCAAGUAGACGGUGGGUGAACAAAUUACUGUCGAGCAAUUGAUAGAACCGCGCAAAGUCAUGACGAUAUCUAUGCAAUGAUCAUAUCUAUAGGCAUCACGUCCAAAACAAGUAGACCGAUACUUUCUGCAUCUACUACUAUUACUCCACACGUCGACCGCUAUCUUGCAUGCAUCUAGUGUAUUAAGUCCAUAAGAACAGAGUAACGCCUUAAGCAAGAUGACAUGAUGUAGAGGGAUAAUCUCAAACCAAUGAUAAAACCCCCAUCUUUUUACCCUUGAUGGCAACUACUUGAUGUGUGCCUUGCUGCCCCUACUGUCACUGGGAAAGGUCACCACAUGGUAGAACCCAAAACCAAGCACUUCUCCCAUUGCAAGAAUCAUAGAUCUAGUUGGCCAAACAAAACUCAAGACUCGGAGAGACUUACAAGGAUAUCAAAUCAUGCAUAUAAGAAAUCAGCAAAGACUCAAAUAUAUAUAAUAGAUAAUCUGAUCACAAAUCCACAAUUCAUCGGAUCUCGACAGACACAACGCCAAAGAAGAUUACAUCGGAUAGAUCUCCAUGAAGAUCAUGGAGAACUUUGUAUUGAAGAUCCAUGAGAGAGAAGAAGCCAUCUAGCUACUAACUACGGACCCGUAGGUCUCAAGUGAACUAUUCACAAGUCAUUGGAGGGGCGAUGAUGAUGAUGAAGAAGCCCUCCAACUCCAAAGUCCCCUCCGGGAGGGCACCGGGAAGGGUCUCCAGAUGAGAUCUCGCGGAAACGGAAGCUUGC
rnacentral:lncRNA from 1 species